rnacentral:ncRNA from 1 species
CCCGCUGAAACUUAAGCAUAUUAAUAAGCGGAGGAAAAGAAAACUAAACAAGGAUUCCCCCUAGUAACGGCGAGUGAAGCGGGAAGAGCUCAAGCUUAAAAUCUCCGUGCAAGUUUUGCGCGGCGAAUUGUAGUCUAUAGAGGCGUGAUCAGUGUGGGCGCUUGGGGCAAGUUCCUUGGAAGAGGACAGCAUGGAGGGUGAUACUCCCGUUCAUCCCUGAGUUGCUCGUGCGUACGAUCCGUUUUCUUUGAGUCGCGUUGUUUGGGAAUGCAGCGCAAAGUAGGUGGUAAAUUCCAUCUAAAGCUAAAUAUUGGUGCGAGACCGAUAGCGAACAAGUACCGUGAGGGAAAGAUGAAAAGAACUUUGAAAAGAGAGUUAAAGAGUACCUGAAACUGCUGAAAGGGAACCGAAUCGUUUCCAGUGUCUAUAAUCCG